AUUGAACGCUGGCGGCAGGCCUAACACAUGCAAGUCGAGCGGAUGAAGGGAGCUUGCUCCUGGAUUCAGCGGCGGACGGGUGAGUAAUGCCUAGGAAUCUGCCUGGUAGUGGGGGAUAACGUCCGGAAACGGGCGCUAAUACCGCAUACGUCCUGAGGGAGAAAGUGGGGGAUCUUCGGACCUCACGCUAUCAGAUGAGCCUAGGUCGGAUUAGCUAGUUGGUGGGGUAAAGGCCUACCAAGGCGACGAUCCGUAACUGGUCUGAGAGGAUGAUCAGUCACACUGGAACUUAGACACGGUCCAGACUCCUACGGGAGGCAGCAGUGGGGAAUAUUGGACAAUGGGCGAAAGCCUGAUCCAGCCAUGCCGCGUGUGUGAAGAAGGUCUUCGGAUUGUAAAGCACUUUGAGUUGGGAGGAAGGGCAGUAAGUUAAUACCUUGCUGUUUUGACGUUACCAACAGAAUAAGCACCGGCUAACUUCGUG
rnacentral:rRNA from 1 species